UGACCUCAGGUCAGAUGGGGCCACCCACUGAGUUUAAGCAUAUCAAUAAGCAGAGGAAAAGAAACUUAUUAGGAUUCCCCUAGUAACGGCUAGCAAACCGGGUACUGCCCAGCUUGGGAAUCGGGCAGCCCCGCUGCUCGAAUUGUAGUCUGUAGAAGCGUCCUCAGUGGCAAACUGGGCACAAGUCCCCUAAAAGGGGGCACUGGUUAGGGUGAGAGCCCUAUCGUUCCUGGACCCUGCCGCACCACGAGGCGCUAUUGGUGAGUCGGGUUGUUUGGGAUGCAGCCCUAAUUGGGUGGUAAAUUAUGUCCAACGCUAAAUACCGGAGAGAGACUGAUAGCGAACAAUUACCGUGAGGGAAAGAUGAAAAGGACUUUGAAAAGAGUCAAAGAGUGCUUGAAAUUGUCAGGAGGGAAGCGGAUGGGGCUGGCAGUGCCCCGCGGUCGGAUGCAGGACGUCCUCAUUGACGGUCUGUUGCUCGGCUCGCGAGGCGGACCGGAGCAGGUCACCGAGGGGCCAGAAGCCGCUCACGCUCGAGGGGAUGCCACUACGGUGAUUGGGGGAUGAAAGCACACGUCUAUCGGACGGACCCUUGGGGCCCGUCUUGAAACGUGGACCAAGGAGUCUAACAUACGUGCGAGUCAGCGGGUGUCCAAAGCUUAAAAGGUUCAAGGAAGCUGAGUGGCGGGAUCGUCGCCCCCACGGGGGUUGUGCACUGCCGACCGACCUUGAUACUCUAUGAAGGGUUCGAGUGGGAGCAUGCCUGUUGGGACCCGAAAGAUGGUGAACCAUGCCUAAGUAGGGCGAGGCCACUUGGGUAUAGGGGCGAAAGACUAAUCGAAAUUUCUAGUAGCUGGUUCUCUCCAAAGUAUCCCUUAGGAUAGCUGGAGCCUGUGAACAAGUUCUAUCAGGUAAAACUAAUGACUAGAGGCAUCGGGGGUGCAACGCCCUCGAACUAUUCUCGAACUUUAAAUAGGUAGGAAGGAGUGGCUGCUCCGAUGAGCCACUCCGUAGAAUCGAGCGCUCUAAGUGGGCCAUAUUUGGUAAGCAAAACUGACGAUGCGGGAUGGACCACAAGCCGGGUUACGAUGCUGAACUACACGCUAACCCAGAACCCACAAAGGGUGUUGGUCAAUUAAGACAGCAGGAUGGUGGUCAUGGAAGUCGAAAUCUAUAAGGAGUGUGUAACAACUCACUUGCUGAAUCAACUAGCCUUGAAAAUGGAUGGCGCUAAAACACGCGACGUACACCCGACCGUUGGGGCAAUUGCCAAGCCCCGAUGAGUAAGAGGGCGCGGCGGUUGCUGCAAAAACCUGGGGCGCUAGCCCGAGUGGAGCGACCGUAGGUGUAGAUAUUGGUGGUAGUAGCUUAUAUUCAAAUGAGAACUUUGAAGGCCGAAGUGGGGAAAGGUUCCAUGUGAACGACACUUGCACAUGGGUUAGUCAAUCCUAAGAGUCGGGGGAAGCCCGUCCAAGAGCGCUGCUAACGGAAGCUUCGAAAGGGAAUCGGGUUAAAAUUGCUGAACCGAGACUUGGCGGCGGACGGUAAUGUUAGGGAGUCCGGAGGUGUUGUCGGGGGCCUCGAGAAGAGUAAUCUUUUCUGUUUAACAGCCUGCCCACCCUGAAAACGGCUUAGCUGGAGGUAGGGUCCAGCGGCUGAAAGAGCAUCGCAUGUCGUGUGGUGUUCGUUGUGCCCCCGGUGGCCCGUGAAAAUCAGGAGGAUCGAGUGCCGCCCAUGUCCAGUCGUACUCAGAACCGCAUCAGGUCUCCAAGGUGAACAGCCUCUGGUCGAUGGAACAAUGUAGGCAAGGGAAGUCAGCAAAAUGGAUCCGUAACUUUAGGAAAAGGAUUGGCCCUGAGUGCUGGGCCCAGGGGUCCCUGCUCCGAACCCGUCGGCUAUCGGUGGACUGCUCGAGCUACUCUGGCGGUGAGAGCAGGUCAACGUGUGCCAGCUGGGGGACAGAUAGGGAACGGCCCCUCUGGGGGCCUUCCCCGGGCGUCGAACAACCGACUCAGAACUGAUAUGGACAAGGGGAAUCCCACUGUUUAAUUAAAACAAAGCAUUACGAUGGUCCCUAUGGAUGUUGAGGCAAUGUGAUUUCUGCCCAGUGCUCUGAAUGUCAAAGUGAAGAUAUUCAACUAAGCGCGGGUAAACAGCGGGCGUAACUAUGACUCUCUUAAGGUAGCCAAAUGCCUCAUCAUCUAAUGAGUGACACACAUGAAUGGAUUAACGAGAUUCCCACUGUCUCUGUCUACUAUCCAGCGAAGCCAUAGCCAAGGGAACGGGCUUUGCAAAAUCAGCGGGGAAAGAAGACCCUGUUGAGAUUGACUCUAGUCCGACUUUGUGAAGUGACUUGAGAGGUGUAGGAUAAGUGGGAGCCGCCCCUAGUGGCGCAAGUGAAGUGCCACUACUUUUAACGUUAUUUUACUUAUUCUGUGAGUCAGAGGUGGGGCAUUGCCCCUCGUUUUGGCUCCAAGGCUGGCCCUAGGAGGGCCGAUCCAGGCGAAACACAUUGUCAGGUGGGGAGUUUGGCUGGGGCGGCACAUCUGUUAAAAGAUAACACGGGUGUCCUAAGAUGAGCUCAACGAGAACAGAAAGCUCGGGUGGAACAAAUGGGUAAAAGCUCAUUUGAUUCUGAUUUCCAGUAUGAAUACGAACCGUGAAAGUGUGGCCUAUCGAUUCUUUAAACCUUCGAGAUUUGAAGCUAGAGGUGUUAGAAAAGUUACCACAGGGAUAACUAGCUUGUGGCAGCCAAGCGUUCAUAGCGACGUUGCUUUUAUAUCAUUUGAUGGUGGCUCUUCAUAUAAUUGUGAAGUAGAAUUCGCCAAGUGUUGGACUGUUCACCCAUCAAUAGGGAACGUGAGCUGGAUUUUGACAAUCGUGAGACAGGUUAGUUUUACCCUACUGAUGAACAUGCCACGAUAGGAAUUCAACUUAGUACGAGAGGAACCAUUGAUUCACACAAAUGGUCAUCGUGCUUGGUUGAAAAGCCAGUGCUGCAAAGCUACCGUGUGUCAGACUAUGACUUAAUCCCUCUAAGUCAGAAUCCAAGCUAGGAAGGAGCACAUGUCCCCUCCUCCCAUUUUCCGACCCAUAGUAGGACUGCGCUCAUGCACGCCAGGGGAUCGUGUCGUUGGUGAAGCCCCCCACAGUGGAUGCUCUCUGGGGGACUGCCUUGUAAUGCAAUUCCCGUCGGGCAGUAGGCAGAAUCCUUUGCUGACGACUUAAAUACGCGAGGGGGUAUUGUAGUGUCAGAGUGGCCUUGCUGCCAUGAUCCACUGAGAUUCAGCUUUGUGUCGCAACGAUUCGU
rfam:Amborella trichopoda AMTR_V1.0_contig_5652, whole genome shotgun sequence.